GCGCCGGCGGUUUCUUCCCCCUGUGUCCUCUGCCCUAGCCACCUCACGCCGCCACCAUAGCCGACAGUCGGCCGCCACUGAGCCCUGCCGAAGCCGCUGCCCUCACUGGACUUGAGCAGCGCUGUCGCCUCUUCCUAGCAUCGCCGUCGCCUCUGCCUAGCAUCGCCGUCGCCGUGCCCUAGGUGCCGAGCGCCACUGACCACCGUAGCACCGCCGCACCUUUUACUCUAGCGCCAGCCUUCUGCCCGUGAUGCUGACCCCCUCUACCGCCGGUGACGAGCCACCUCUCCGACUUCCCUGUGCGCCGGCUGAAGUUUCCCUUCCUUGUGUCUCUGAUCUAGAGUGAUUGCGGCCUUGUUUCUGCCCUAUGCGACGCCGCCUCUGUACACUAUGCCUAGGUCGCCGGAAAUCAAGAGCUUAAGAAGGUGACAGGGGGUAGUUGUAACCCGGCCAGUGGGACUGAAGGUGAGGGCUUAGGGUUUGUUUUUGUUUUCAAUUCUGUGCUUUGAUUCUUAUCCUGCCGUGAGCAGCACUUGGGUGUGGGAUGGCUAAUUUAGUGUAUAGGGUUUGGUGGACAGCGGCUUCACCAACUUCUGAUUCUCGCUGUCAUCAUCGAAGAAGAGCAACUUGAUCAGGGCAGUAGGUUGUUACGUCUGGCCAGUAGGUUUGAUUUGGGGCUGUUGGAACUUGUCGUGGCAAUCUUGCUUUGGUUGAGGGCAUCAAGGAAGAGCCACUCACCUUGUUCCAGCAGCAAACACAUUCCUUGAUUAUGGAUUAAUCACGGCCGUGAAUUGAGGACUUUGACGCGAGACGAGUAUCUCGGAGUCUGAUUGGACCUUUCUACUUUCGGAGG